CAGUGCCGCGGUAAUACGUAGGUGGCAAGCGUUAUCCGGAAUUAUUGGGCGUAAAGCGCGCGCAGGCGGUUUCUUAAGUCUGAUGUGAAAGCCCACGGCUCAACCGUGGAGGGUCAUUGGAAACUGGGGAACUUGAGUGCAGAAGAGAAAAGCGGAAUUCCACGUGUAGCGGUGAAAUGCGUAGAGAUGUGGAGGAACACCAGUGGCGAAGGCGGCUUUUUGGUCUGUAACUGACGCUGAGGCGCGAAAGCGUGGGGAGCAAACAGGAUUAGAUACCCCCGUAGUCCCUGUCUCUUAUACA
rnacentral:rRNA from 1 species